AACAUUCAUUGCUGUCGGUGGGUUUUAGUUUGAAUCAACUCACUGAUCAAUGAAUGCAAA
rnacentral:pre_miRNA from 1 species